GCUGGCCUUGAACUCCUGGCUUCAAACAGUCUUCCCACUUGGGCUCCCAAAGUGCUGGGAUUAAAGGGGCGAGUUACAGCACCAGGACCUGAAAUGCAUCAUGUGUCAUUCUCACAGCUGUUAGGACUUCAAUGAUGUUAUAAGGAAGUUGGGGCUCAGAGAAGCUACAGAACUUACCCAAGGACACACAGCCAUCACGAAAAACAUGGCCAGCAAAGCAGGUGAGGCAAAGAUCAGGAAGGACAUUAAACGCCAAACUAAGGAGCGGAACUGAAUGAGCAGUGAAGGGGAACAAUGGCUUCAGCAGGUCCACUGGGCUCCUCUUUUCUGUCAGCCUCCCCCUACCCCUCACCUCUGUACUACUCAUGUUACUAUCUACGUCUCUUCACCAAUGUCAUUGUGGAAAUAAAAGCUUAUCUGUAAGAGUA
rnacentral:lncRNA from 1 species